AUAUGCGGAUAUUAAUAUUAUGAUUAGUUUAAUUUUACAUGGUUAGUUAAUUUUUACAUACAAUGACAUGUAUAUGCAUAAUAUAUAUUAUAUGUAUAAUAAUCACAUAGUUAUGAUUCAUUAUUUGUGGUUGAAAACUAUAAAUCUUCUUGACAUUAUUUAAUUCAAGAUAUAAUACAAUCUACUUUGCUGUUAGUUUUUAUUUUUUAUUGUAAAAUAUACAAAUCACAUUCAUUAAUUUUUAAACGCUAAACUCUUGGUAAACCUUAAACCCUUGAGUAUACUCCAACCCUUUGGCUUUACCGGAUAAAUCAUAAACAAUAAACUCAAAACUUUUGGAUAUACUGUAAACACUAAUCUCUCUCUCUCCCUCUCUCUCCCUCUCUCCUCUCUCUCCCUCUCUCCCACUCUCUCUCCCCUCUCCUCCUCCCUCCUCCCUCCCUCUCUCUCUC
rnacentral:lncRNA from 1 species